AUUGAACGCUGGCGGCAGGCCUAACACAUGCAAGUCGAGCGAGCGGCGGACGGGUGAGUAAUGUCUGGGAAACUGCCUGAUGGAGGGGGAUAACUACUGGAAACGGUAGCUAAUACCGCAUACCAUCAGAUGUGCCCAGGUGGGAUUAGCUAGUAGGUGGGGUAACGGCUCACCUAGGCGACGAUCCCUAGCUGGUCUGAGAGGAUGACCAGCCACACUGGAACGUGGACACGGUCCCGACUCCUACGGGAGGCAGCGGUGGGGAAUAUUGCACAAUGGGCGCAAGCCUGAUGCAGCCAUGCCGCGUGUGUGAAGAAGGCCUUCGGGUUGUAAAGCACGUUCAGCGGGGAGGCGUUACCCGCAGAAGAAGCACCGGCUAACUCCGUGCCAGCAGCCGCGGUAAUUC
rnacentral:rRNA from 1 species